AGAGCGUAAGAAAGGCUUGAAAAGUGGAAGAGCGCUGCAUCCACAAUCGCCAAGUGAAGAUACUUACAUUUACGAAAAUACAUGUUAAGCUCGGCCCACCAAGUAGCUAGAAAGAACGCUUAAGCCGAAGAUCGGGACUUGCAAAAGGGGGCUAUAUGUUCCAUAAUCCAUUCCGAAAUAAAUAUUAGGUACAUGUCAAAAACAAAAAAAGUUCAAAAAUAGGGAUCUUCAAGUAUCUUAAUUUUUGAGAAUUUCCAAGAUACCUUGAAGUUAUAAUGUUAGAAAAGUAUUAUAAUUAUAUUCGUUUGGUAUUAAAUUUAAAAGUCUAAAAAUUGUAUGAGCCUAAAAAUUUCAAUAUGUAUGCUACAAUUGUUUUUUAUUUGAAUCGGAAAAACAUUGCUGAAACGUUCAGGUUCCAUAUUGUUUAAACAGCUGAGGAAGGAAAAACUAAAUAAAACAAAACAAGUUUCUGCCAGUGUAGUCCGAUAAGUAAUAUUAAAAUAGAGAGAGAGACAGAGCUAAAAAGAGAGUGUGCCGCUGAAUAACUGCAACUCAAGUUGGUUAAUUGGCUCCGCUCAGAUUCUUUUCAGUUUUCCUCAUGGCCUUUUCCCCCCAGCACCUCGUUCUUUUCUCAGCACUCCCAUUGUACCAGUUCUGGGAAUUGUACAGCUAUGUUUGAUUAACAUUUCAGAGAGAUCCCCUCUCCCCAUUUCGCUCGCGGCACCUAUCCGAUAUUUCUACUACUAUAAAACUGUCACACAUUUAAGCUGGCCACGACUUUGUUUAUUGUUUAUUCCGGAGAAUAAGCCUGAAGAUAAGCCAAGUGUCGUCAUUUGCAUAAGCUUUGAAAUAGCUGGAAAAUGGAAAAGUGGGUGAGAGAGCAAGUGAGGGAAAUUCCAUGGCUCAGCGUGGCGCCGCUUCAAUUAGAAAAAUUCUUUAUCCAAGGCUUUCUCCGCUCUACAAAAAUUCUUUCACCAAAGGCUACAUUUUUCUAGAACAAAUCAUAGAAACCGGGACCUUUAUUAACUUUAUUUGCUAGUUGCUAGGAAUGCAUAGUUGUUGGGCAACAUUUUUAUACCCGUUACUCCACUCUGACUACCUUAAAAAAAAAUUUGAAAUUGUUUAAUUUAUCUCUCCAAUUUAAAUCAGUAUGUCGAAAACCUUUCCGAUACGGCCAAUCUUACGCCCACUACUAAAUUUUUUUUUUUUUCUAUUUUAAUAUUUUUUUAUAUCUAUAUGCCAUAAAGAACAAUAUAUGUUUGUACAAAAAUAUUAUAAAAGCUGUUAUUAAACGCACAACUUUGAUUUAAGUGAUAUAUUGAUUACUUUACCCAUUGCUUCGAAAAAAUAAUAGCAAGUCCCUCCACCUGCAUUGAAUUGGAGGCCUUCAACCUUUUGUAAAAUAAAUGUGAAGAAGCCCCGCAAACGAGUAACUAAUUAGAUAUCCAUACCCAGGGCGGUCCCCUUUUAGCCCCCUCCGUUUACCUUUUCGGCGGCCCUGACUCACCCGCCUGACCUAUUCAAUGACGUUAUUAAAGGGUUUUCGAAUCGAUACGUGUGGCUUGUAGUGGGGGUGUGUGUUUCCCGGUACUAUGCGCGUUGUAAAAACGGAAAUUGCUUGGCAAAACCCGAAACCGGAUGUCGGAUGUGCAGCCAAAAUGAAAAACGGCAAGCCAAAAAAGAAAAUGUGUUCAAUGCCAAGUGCAGCGACUGAUAAGAGUCUCGCUUGCUCGGAAAAGCGAAACCAAAAUGCGGCAAUCAACCCAAAAAGCGUUGAAUGCGUCAUGCCAGUCGCCCAGCCCACAACGAUCCAAGAUCCCAGAGGUUGACAAACCCAAGUCCCAAAACGCCAAACACCGAUCACUAUAAACACUGCCACGCACUCGCCUCGAAAACAGCGCCCAAAAAGUUGCCAGCCAACGAGACAAGUCAGCCAGUUUCGUCAUAAUUACACGCAACUCUUCCCGCUCCUUUUCUUUGAAGGCAGAAAAAAAGGAAAAGUGUCCAAGCCAAGAAAAGGCGAUGUACUCUACGUACCAUAGGUUUCAUCGCAUAUUUAAGACACGUAGAUAUGACCAAUUAAAUUCUUAAAUUAAUUUUGUUUAUGCCAAUGCGUUUACGAAACAUCAACAAUGUACGACUGAAAAACAUUUUUAUCAAAAAAUGGCAUAAACCACGUAUUAAGUAAGUAAGAUCUUAAAUGAUGAGAAAAUGGAUUGGAUAUUUCGGGAAAGUUAUCCGCGUUCAGCCGGAAAAUGAGUACCUGUCAAUUAUGUCAUUAAAAAGGGAAACGGAGCCAAGAACAAUGCCAAAACGAAUACUCUUACCACAUGGAAAACGAAAGCCGAGUUGAGAUCUGAAUGGAUAUGCAGAUUGUCUGAGGUCUUAGCUACGGCUGUUGCAGAUGUACAUAUCUGCAGACGUAGAUGUCUCUGAAAAUGUAUCUGUAGGAUGGUGCUUUUGGGGCCGUGUGAUUGCUUGGGCGCUGUCACGUAACGAAAGGGAAAACUCUGGCUGUCGCCUGGCUUUAACUUUGGCUAUAGCUUUAACUUGGCUCUGUGUCUGAGUUUUGCUGUCGCAUCGAUGCGGCUGUGGGAAGACAUCGUUGUCGUGUGCAACAGCAUGCAGUAACAAGUACAACAAUAACAGGAAAGGUACAGUAAAGCGUCUCGUACACGAAUGAUGUAACAAAAGAAGCGCAGUUAUUAAACCACAAUGUUGCCCAAAGAGAAUUUUCUAACUUAUUAAAUUAGGAACUGAUUCCUUUAGUUAAAGCAAAAAAUCCAACGCAUUUUAGAUACUUAAGCUUCAUUCAACUACGUUCUCUGUAAUUAACAACAAAGAAGUUGGACUGUAAGUGGCCACAAUGACAGGGCAGCGGCAACAAUGGCUGCCAAGAAGAAUCUUUUAUGGCCAGAAGGGGCGGCCAGCGGGGAGGGCAGGGCAGGUAAAAGAGGAAAAAAACAGGGAAAAGGGCCCACAGUGUCGGCCGACGUCAAAGAGGAAGGCGCUCUUUCCCCUGAAAAGUUCCGACUGGCUGGCUUCAAGACAUCAUGUGAAGGGUGUCGACUCUCAUUUGCAUAUUCUCAACAGCCAGUAAAAGAAUAAACCAGCCCCAUUUAAAAGCCUUUUAUCCCCGAAAUCACAAGCAACAACAACCCAAUUAAUAUACCAGCGUUUUCGCUACAGUUAAAAACGAUAUAGCAUGUGCAUUACAGUUACUUUUCGCUGGGAAAACUGAUGUGUCGAAGAUCAUUUGAUAGAAAACAUAGGUAGGGAGGAGCACAACAACGGCUUCAACUAAUUGCAUUAAGGUGCAUCUGCAACUGCUGCAGCGAUAAAAACAAAAAUCAGAGCAAUUCCCACAGAAUCGGCGAGGCAUUAGCCGAGCUCACGUAAUGUGAUUAACAUAGAUUCCGCACAAACACCACCAUGCACUAUCGCAGAGAUGGGUACAAAUUGGAAAACUUGCAGAACUCAAACCAUAACUUUUCUUUAGUGCAUUAGGGGAAGGGCUAGCUCGAGUGCAAGUAAUGUUACAACUAGAAAUUUAGAUUGCACUAAUUGUAGUCAUUUGUUUGAUUUAGAUUAUUAUUAAAAAAAACCAAAUGAUAGUAUUUAGAAAUGGCAUAAAAUGACUAAUACUUUAAUAUUUUAAAAAGCUUUCUUAUUGCCAUUACCUGAAACAUAUUUCCCGUCUGACUAAAAUUUAUGUACUCUUCUCUAAAUGGGAAGCUUUUCAGCAUUGUUUGUUGUUCGUGGCGUGUUGUUACUGCUGCUGCUGCAUUCAAUCAACGAGCAACGGCAUUUUGAGAGCAGCGCCUGAGGCUCUGGCUCCGGCGUCAAACUCGGCGGUCAACAACACUUGCAGCGAUCGAAAAAAAAUGGUAUAAUAAACAGAAACAGUGACGUUUGUUUGAGGAAGCCAGCUUAGAGUGGGAAAAUUGGCAGAGAGCGGCUCUCAAACGUGGAGAGUGUGCGAGAUGAGAAGAGGGACGGAGCAUCGCAGGUGUUUGCCAAACAAUUGUAGUAAAGCCCUGGCACGCUUUUCUCCCCUCUCUUCCACUGCACCAUGGUUUCAGCGCUGAGAAAAAUUCCAAAUAGGACCGUACUCGUGUUGACAAGAAGUAUACACAUUUUAAUGGUUAAUAAAUUGGUACAAUUUUAAAAAAAAAAAAGUUCUUUGUAUGUUUAGGGUAUAAAAUUAAAUACCAAUUACCAAAUAUUAAGGGUAAAUCACUAUAUGGAAAAUAACACAAGAAAUUUUAUCAAAUAGCCCCUAGAUACGCACAGUGUAUCUGUCACCCUAACUUUAUUUCUUUCUCACUCACAUAUGCGCAAGUGGCAUGUCUCUGUUAUGCUAUUAACAUGCUGUUAAUUUGAUUGAAAAAUGCUUUAUGGCAAUAGCCGCAAUUGCAGUCGUAGUGGCGGCCUAGCUUUUGUUUUUGGAUUUCAUUUGUUCGUUUUUGGUCGAGUGAAAGUGAAAAUUACGAAAAUUAUACAGAAAUCAAUGUUACCGCAGCAGCCGUCGCAGGCGAGGAAAAUUGGAUGAAAAUGAACGGCCAGCAGCGGCCGCAGACAACAAAAACGAGCAAACAAACAACAAUACCCAGCUGUUUGACGGCUGCACGUGCGGCUGCUGUGUUGUCAAAGAAAUUGCAUCUGCAACUGCAACUCCAAACGGAGUGUGGCAAGUUCAAGACGCUGGCCUAAGGUGCACCACAUUCCAGGUGUCAGGCGAGACGAGUUCUACUUCUGCAACUAGUUUCUGCAUUUCUUGUGGUUCUUGGUUUUUGGUUCUCGGCUACCACUCCUGCCACACUCCCCUCCCCUUUUGGGGCACAUCAUCUGCAAACAAAAAGAGCCGAGCAGCACAGGCUGGCUAACUAACGAUGUCCCAAUUUCGAGAACCCACUGUAAUUUGGGACACCUGCAUGCGCCCAAUUCGAGUUUUCCACUUUUCGAGUUCAAGGCGAAAACCCGUUCGCCAAGCAAAAUCCAGGCGGAAGAAUUGCGCCAAAAGCGAGGCACCCGAAACGGGGCACAUGCAUAGUUUAGUCUUGCAAUCGCAACACAAAGAAAACUAUGCUUGAAAGAUAAGUCAUUGGCUUAGUUCCAUGGUUAAAAGAGAUUUAGAGACUAUCUAGAUCUGACCUUUCAAAAAACAUCUUAUUGGUUUCACUUCAGAAGUGAUUUUGUUACGAUAGAUUUUGAUUAAUUUGCGCAGGCAUAAACCAAUUCCAAUAUAAUAAUACCAAGGUAAUAUUCCCAUGUCCUAGCUCCUCACCUGUUGUUUUAGGUCCCAACCCAAUCGCUGGCAGACCAAUCCAAAAGCAGUCACACCCGCAAACUGGUAUCGAUCCGGGGAAAAGGAACGAAGCAGCAGCUGUAGCACAAAGUCAGCGCAAUAAUUUGCGCAAUUGAACUCAUCAAUUGCAGCAAUUAAAUGUGCCCACGGCGGGAGGAAGUGGAAGGGUGGUGGUGGGGGUUGUACAGCAAUAACGAGCUAUGAAUUAACUUAGUCAAAUGCAGAGGGGCAAAUGGGUGUGAUAUAACGCCAGCGAACAACACAAACAAAAGGCCAGCGAUAGGCAGCAAGUUAAUUAAAUGAUUUUCAAUGCCCGUCGACCCCGCGGUGCGAAACACUUUCUUUUGCCUCUCGGGAAAAUCGAAGAGGGAAAACUAAUGGUAAUAAAGUAUCCGUUUGAACGCUUGACUAGCAGCGAUGCAUAUAUUUUGCAACAUUUAAUUGCUCAAUUUAUGUAAGCAGGCAAAGCAGCUCCGAGGGUCGAAUUGAUAACAAAACAUCAUCACAACAACUGCCUGUACCAAUGAAAUAUAAACAAUAUAAUCUGUGAGGCUUCGCCUCAGAAAGGAAAAUGUUUUUGCGGGUGGGUGAAGGAAGUGGAAAGGCGUUUUAUUUUUACGCAAGCUCAAGACUAAGUCGCAUCAUUGCUCAAACGAAAUAAAACUUUUUGCGCAGCUGGAACUUACAUAUACGAAUCACGACUAGUCGCAGUAUGAUAAGCUUAUCAGCCUCCAUCAGGCUGGCUGCCCCACGCCAACCUAAUAGAUACAAAUUGAAUUUAAUUAAAUGCAUCCCAUCCCAGGGUUGAGGGAAACUCGUGCAAAACAAAUGUGCGGAAACACAGCGAAGAAUCAGAGGAAAAUUGAAGCUGUAAACAAGACGGCGACCGAGUGGCAAGUUAAUUAAAGAAAUUCACUGCAGUAUCUGCAUCCUCUUCAGAACUCAUAGCUGAGAAAUGUUUCUAUUUUAAACGGUUAAAUAGAGAAAUACUGAAUAAGUAACAAAGAUACAUCGAGUGGAGAAUGUUUUGAUUAUUACUCAUCACAAAAUCUUCUUACUUUCAUAAAUAUAGUCGCAAAAACAUAUAACCGUAGAUAAAUACCUAAUAAAACCUGUCAUUCCUGCAUUCCUAUGUUACUUCUGUAACACUAAUGGAGAAGACUUCCUUGUGGAGUCUAAAUUAACGUUUAACAAAGGCUAUAUUUUGUACACCCAAUUCUGAGUAAAAAAAAAAUAUUAAUUGGUAUACUUGGUGGAAUUAUCUCGCAGUCGCAGGUACUUCGUGGGAUGCAGUCACAGCCAAAAGUAAACAACUGGCCGGAGACAACAAGCUGCAGAACUCCUUUCACGCCCCUCGGGCCCCGUUGUGUGGCCCUUUGUUUAUUCUGACAGCCUGUCAGUGGCCAAGAUGUGGCCACACAAUGAAGCAGGAGAUGGCCAGGAGGGGUCAUGUCGAGGCAGAGAGGCAGGGACACGUGACACUUGAUGGUCCAACCGCCAUUCCAUACCAAUUGUUUGCCUAACAUUCCGCACGCAUGGCAAGUGUGUUUGUUGAGGCCUUUUCCCCAUUGCAAAUUUGUUAAACAAAUCAACAACGCUUAAAACCAAACUCAAAACACUCAAGAAAUCAACAAGCUCAUUUUUCCAAAGUUUAGAUUAUUAAACGAAAUAAAGUUCAUCGCAGCAUUGACUUAUAUUAUGUGAGCAUUCUUUAAACUUAUAAAAGAUCCCCAAACUUUACUACUUAAAAAUCAUUUGUGAAUCGAAUACUUACAAAAUGUUGAACAGGGAAGCCAACAUUUUCUAGACUUUCCUUUAUCUCUAGUGCCGUUUUCCAUGCCAACAGGCUGACCCUGUUCUGCCGAGCAGCUUUAGAAUAACGCUAAGAUGGCUCAAAUCAAAACCGAAACCGGUUUUCGGCCUUCUGAAGUCUGAAAAAAGCGAACCUGCGGGCAGAUUACGUCUCAUCUUCCACUCAGGUGCACCGCCGUAAAUGGCAUAAGUAUGUAAGUAGGAGCUGACGUUGCUCCUUCUUUAGGAAUCUGGUUUUCUGGCUAAACACCGAGUUUGAGUACCACUGGGCUUAUAUUAUUCGGUGGGGUUUUGUACUUUCAAAAGCCCAUCCAGCAAAAAUUCACCAUUGAAAGAAGCUGCGAGGUCUGUUGAAUGGAUUCAUGAAAUUAACUUAAUGGGUCAGAGCUGAAUGAUUUUUCUGAGUCACUCACUACGUGAUGGAUGCUGUUCCCGAUACCAAGUACAACAUCACCACAGAAGCUGCAAUCAGAAUUUAUAAAGAGCGAUAAGCGAGUACUGAGAUAAGGCGGCGUCGCAUCGACCAAAACAACUUGGCGGAGCGUUCUAUUUAUAAACUGCACAGUUAAAUACCCUGUAAUCAACUGAUUGCAGGGCAACCCACUAAUUGUAACCCGUCAGCAAAUGCAGUACACAAAAAAAAGUUGGGACAGAUAUAAUACCAAUUCCUAAUAAUACAAAAAUGGCUGCGGGUCACGCACUUAAGCCAAUUGCCACUUGGCGCACUGGAUGUGAAUUUGAAUGUGGAACGCGAUUUGUGCACGCCACCUAACAAAAGUGAUGUCAUUUGCAGGCAUUUGUUGCUGUUCUCAUUGGCACUGUUAUUAUUCCUUGUCGAUGGGGACUACAAAAGAGCUCCAGGGAUGACCCACAAGUGGUUUUCGUCAGCUGGAGCGGAAACAACCGGUGCGCAACAGGUGUGGCAGCAAGGAAAGGACCUAUGCAUACCCAGCCCAGAAAUGCCUCAGAGUAGCGAUGAGUGUUGUGCUUAAAUGUCUUCGAUAAGCCACAACCCAAAUUAACAUUGCACCUAACUUGACCUGUGAAUAUAUGGAAUCUAACAAUCUCA